rnacentral:ncRNA from 14 species
CCAACGGCCCUCUUUAGGGCCACAAAUCCAACAAAAUCCAAUCAUU